UACGGAGGGUGCAAACGUUGCUCGGAAUCAUUGGGCGUAAAGCGCACGUAGGCGGCUCGUUAAGUCGGAUGUGAAAGCCCCGGGCUCAACCCGGGAAGUGCAUUCGAGACUGCUCUGCUAGGGUGCGGAAGAGGGAAGCGGAAUUUCCGGUGUAGCGGUGAAAUGCGUAGAUAUCGGAAGGAACACCAGUGGCGAAAGCGGCUUCCUGGUCCAGCACCGACGUUCAGGCACGAAAGCGUGGGGAGCAAACAGG
rnacentral:rRNA from 1 species